GUGAGAGACUCCAGGAGACUUAAUUUCUCUGUCCACAGAACUGGUGCAGCAAAGGCAGCAGCAGUGCAAUCUUCCUCAUGGUAGCCACAUCAAUGUGCCUCAACUUUGACCUGCAGAGCUCAACUCUGGGGUCAGAAUAAGAUAUUAGUUCAGUUUCCAUCCCCAUUCAAUUCUUGGCCACU
rnacentral:sRNA from 1 species